UGCCCGAUGGUGUAAUGGUAGCACAACUGAUUCUGGUUCAGUUUGUCUUGGUUCGAAUCCAGGUCGGGCAGCCA
rnacentral:tRNA from 2 species